CGGGGACGAGUGUUACUUGGAGCCGAACGGCGCCCAGCUCUCACCGCCAUUCUCCCCAGAGAGCAAGCCAAUCUCUGAUUAAAUGACAGGACCACCUCUACAGCACGACAGUAACAACUCUGUUGGGGACGUCUUGGUGUCUCUGCUGACGAGAUGAGUCGGGCUCGUCCUGCUGUCCAGUGACUUGGAGGCGACAGUGGCAAGGAAAAACUCCCUCUGAGAGGAAGAAACCUUGGGAGGAACCAGGCUCUCUGGGGGAGGGGCCCAUCCUCCUAAGGGCAGGGGGGGACCUCCAGCUGCUCCUGGAUACGAGAUGUCUUCUUUUUCUUUGUCUGUCCUCUACUUGUCUUCUCAGUCAGCUGACGUCCACUUCCACGUUCGUCACCUGUACAGAGAUGACAGACAAGUUUAAUGACAGACUUACCUUUUCUCUUAUUCAAGUCCCUGCCCCUGUUGUCUGGUCUUUGGUUUGGGUCUUCUGGUCAUCUGAUUCAUAUUCGAACAGGACGUAGGCUGAAUUUUGCCGCUGCUGACAAACGGACGAGCCGGUCGUCUCAAAGACCACCGAGUCGUUGUACGUGAACCAGCUGUCGGUCGGCUCGUCUGGACAGUUGUUG